CCAGGCCUAAUCAAAAAGAGCUGUAAUAUUGACGGGUACUUAACAAGAAGUAUGGAGCAAUCUGAAUAGAGUAGAAAAUUUGCUACACUUCACACUUCUAAUAAAAACUUAAUAUAAUAUAUAUAUUUUUUAUUUAAAUCCAUCUACACUGUAUUUGGAUACAAACAUCUACAAUAUUCACCUUCAGUGUAAUUACUAAUUACCUUCAUGUUCAAUUUGAAUAAAAACAAAUAGAAGUAGCCCGAUAUCACUCACAAAAAAAGAUCAUAUUUUCCCGACUAACCCGUGCGUAGCACGGGCCCCGCCACUAGUACUAUAUAAUAGUGGAGCCUAACAAGUGCCACAU
rnacentral:lncRNA from 1 species